AUGAACGCUGGCGGCGUGCCUCAUACAUGCAAGUCGAGCGAACAGACGAGGAGCUUGCUCCUCUGACGUUAGCGGCGGACGGGUGAGUAACACGUGGAUAACCUACCUAUAAGACUGGGAUAACUUCGGGAAACCGGAGCUAAUACCGGAUAAUAUAUUGAACCGCAUGGAUCAAUAGUGAAAGACGGUUUUGCUGUCACUUAUAGAUGGAUCCGCGCCGCAUUAGCUAGUUGGUAAGGUAACGGCUUACCAAGGCAACGAUGCGUAGCCGACCUGAGAGGGUGAUCGGCCACACUGGAACUGAGACACGGUCCAGACUCCUACGGGAGGCAGCAGUAGGGAAUCUUCCGCAAUGGGCGAAAGCUUGACGGAGCAACGCCGCGUGAGUGAUGAAGGUCUUCGGAUCGUAAAACUCUGUUAUUAGGGAAGAACAAAUGUGUAAGUAACUAUGCACGUCUUGACGGUACCUAAUCAGAAAGCCACGGCUAACUACGUG
rnacentral:rRNA from 1 species